AUUGAACGCUGGCGGCAUGCCUUACACAUGCAAGUCGAACGGCAGCACGGGAGCAAUCCUGGUGGCGAGUGGCGAACGGGUGAGUAAUAUAUCGGAACGUGCCCAGUCGUGGGGAUAACGUAGCGAAAGCUACGCUAAUACCGCAUACGAUCUAUGGAUGAAAGCGGGGGAUCGCAAGACCUCGCGCGAUUGGAGCGGCCGAUAUCAGAUUAGGUAGUUGGUGAGGUAAGGCUCACCAAGCCGACGAUCUGUAGCUGGUCUGAGAGGACGACCAGCCACACUGGGACUGAGACACGGCCCAGACUCCUACGGGAGGCAGCAGUGGGGAAUUUUGGACAAUGGGCGCAAGCCUGACCCAGCAAUGCCGCGUGCAGGAUGAAGGCCU
rnacentral:rRNA from 1 species